GAGAGGUUAUAUAGUGUUAUAUGAUAAAAGAAGACAGCAGUAUUUAAAAUGAGGUAAGCGUUGGAUCGAUUUAUGAUGUAUUUUAUCUUCUGGAGGAACCCAAGUUUAUCAUACUGUCAUUCACCUUGAAGCAUCGGCUAUAUAUCUUUCUAUCUCUCACUGUACUUCUGGAUUGAAAAGAAAAUCUUUGCUAAGCUAAGAUGUAUGAGCUGGAUCAAAUGCUAGAUUCAGUUUUGCCCUUGAUACCCACAUAAAUUUUCUCUCUAACACCUUCUGUUGGCAAACAUUAAUCUUGAUUAAUUGAAUUAUGCCAAUUAGUCAUCUUCUUUAAUAUAUCUUUCAAACAAGAAAUUGAAAACAUAUUUUAUGAAGAAAUACAUUCUUAUUCUUCCAGCAUGUAUGGAACAAAACUGGAUCACAUUCUCUAGAUUUUAACUUCCUCAACUUUCUAUGCAAGUUACAAGAAAAAGUUAUAUCAAAAUACUUCAUUCACAAUAAAACCAAAGAGAAAAAAAAAUCGGAAUCCUCAAAGUGUAUUAUUUUACAGACCUCUAUAUCACUGUGGCUUAUUUUACUUCAUCUUUGCACACUUCUACCAUUAGGGGCAACACCCAAGAGAUACAACAAGGCUAACUACUAAUUGAUUUCAUAUGGCCAUGGAUGAUAUGCGCAAUUAAGGAGUUGACACAAGAAGUUAACUCAGAUGAAAGAAGUCUGCAGGUCAGAGUUAAUUCAAGGAACACACUGAAACAAGAACUGGAAAAUUCAUAGGAGUUUUCAUUAUCAACUAAUCACCAGGACAGGAUGUUUGAAUAAUUAUGGAAGUUGCUGCCAAAGAGUUCUCCAAUAGCGCAUCUCUGAAGCAAUGCUGGUUAGCCUACAUUUUGAAUGGAUGUUUUUCCUUUGCCCCUAUGACUAACCUUCUAAUACUCAGUGGCUCUAGUCCAAAGCCUGGUUAAUACAUCUGUCCAGAACACAUGAUUAUUUGGUCAUAACAUUUCCCUGGCCACCAGCCAACAAACCAAUCAGUAUUUCUCUCUCAAAAUCAUGAAAACUUUUGCUGUGUCAAGCUAUUUGAACUUUAGGCAAUGUAUGUAUGAAUGUACACAUACACCACUAGAAGAUUUUAAUGUAACCUAUUCCUUUCUCAUGCAAAUUA